UGGGGAAUAUUGCACAAUGGAGGGAACUCUGAUGCAGCGACGCCGCGUGAACGAAGAAGGCUUUCGAGUCGUAAAGUUCUUUUAUAUGGGAAGAUAAUGACGGUACCAUAAGAAGAAGCCCCGGCUAACUACGUGCCAGCAGCCGCGGUAAUACGUAGGGGGCUAGCGUUGUCCGGAAUCACUGGGCGUAAAGGGUUCGCAGGCGGAAAUGCAAGUCAGGUGUAAAAGGCAGUAGCUUAACUACUGUAAGCAUUUGAAACUGCAUAUCUUGAGAAGAGUAGAGGUAAGUGGAAUUUUCAGUGUAGCGGUGAAAUGCGUAGAUAUUAAAAAGAAUACCGGUGGCGAAGGCGACUUACUGGGCUCAUUCUGACGCUGAGGAACGAAAGCGUGGGUAGCAAACAGG
rnacentral:rRNA from 1 species